GGUCCUCCAAAAGGGAAGACCCAAGAUACUGCAGCCAAAAUGUCUCAUGAGGCAGAUGAAUUCCUGACACAAACACAGAAGGAAGCACCCGGAGGACAAGUGAUGGACCAAAAGGCUGUUCAGGAGGAGGAACACUCAGGGAGAAGCAGUGGCUCACUGGCAGCGCUAGCUUCAGGAAGGAAGACGAUGCCAGACAUGGGCACAGGCACAGCAGAUGCAGCUGGCGCCACAAGACCUGUUCCCAAUGCCCAGGAUGGCCUCGGAAGGGGUUUCUGUCAGGGAACAGGCUGCUGGCUAGGGUUUCUGGCAGGCGUGCUUUAU